rnacentral:rRNA from 1 species
AGAGCGAACGCUGGCGGCGUGCUUAACACAUGCAAGUCGAGUGCGCGCCUGUAGCAAUACAGGUGGCGCACGGCGCACGGGUGCGUAACACGUGGGUAAUCUGCCCUUCGAUGGGGAAUAACUCCGGGAAACCGAAGCUAAUUCCGCAUAACAUUCCUUGAACUUCGGUUUGGGGACUCAAAGCCGUAAGGCGUCGGAGGAGGAACCCGCGCACGAUUAGCUAGUUGGUAGGGUAACGGCCUACCAAGGCUUUGAUCGUUAGCUGGUCUGAGAGGAUGGCCAGCCACACUGGAACUGAGACACGGUCCAGACUCCUACGGGAGGCAGCAGUGGGGAAUUUUGCGCAAUGGGGGAAACCCUGACGCAGCAACGCCGCGUGGAGGAUGAAGUCUCUUGGGACGUAAACUCCUUUCGAUCGGGACGAUAAUGACGGUACCGAGAGAAGAAGCCCCGGCUAACUUCGUGCCAGCAGCCGC